GACGAACGCUGGCGGCGUGCCUAAUACAUGCAAGUAGGACGCAGUUGCGAACGGGUGAGUAACGCGUAGGUAACUACCUAUUAUAGGGGGAUAACUAUUGGUAACGCUAGCUACUACCGCGUACUAGUAGAUGGACCUGCGUUGUAUUAGCUAGUAGGUAGGGUAAUGGCCUACCUAGGCAACGAUACAUAGCCUAACCUGGAUGGGGAUCAGCCACACUGGGAAUGGAGCAAGGGCCAGGCUCCUACGGGAGGGAAGAGGAGGGGAUCUUCGGAAAUGGGGGGAACGCUGACCGAGCAACGGCGGGGGAGUGAAGAAAGUUCUCGGAUCGUAAAGCUCUGUUGUUAAGGAAGCGGUACUUAACCAGAAAGCCACGGCUAACUACGUGCCAGCAGCCGCGGUAAUAC
rnacentral:rRNA from 1 species